rnacentral:rRNA from 1 species
AGAGUUUGAUCCUGGCUCAGAACGAACGUUGGCGGCGUGGAUUAGGCAUGCAAGUCGAACGAGAACCUGGGGGCAACUCUGGGGGAAAGUGGCGAAAGGGGCAGUAAGGCGUGGGUAACCUACCCCCGGGACGGGGAUAGCCAUCCUAACGGGUGGGUAAUACCCGGCGAUGUAGCGGAGGCGCAUGCCUCUGUUACCAA